GGGGAAAUAGUUAAUAAUAACAUUUGAUUUGCGGUUAAAAAGUAUUGAAUAUUCAAUUUUCCUCA
rnacentral:tRNA from 1 species